rnacentral:tRNA from 1 species
AGUGUCACGCCGGAUGAACGGAAGUCAUUGAUGUUGACUAAUAUGGGAUUAAAUUAAAUCUCUGACACUA